rnacentral:rRNA from 1 species
GACGAACGCUGGCGGCGUGCUUAACACAUGCAAGUCGAACGGAAAGGCCCUGCUUUUGUGGGGUGCUCGAGUGGCGAACGGGUGAGUAACACGUGAGUAACCUGCCCUUGACUUUGGGAUAACUUCAGGAAACUGGGGCUAAUACCGGAUAGGAGCUCCUGCUGCAUGGUGGGGGUUGGAAAGUUUCGGCGGUUGGGGAUGGACUCGCGGCUUAUCAGCUUGUUGGUGGGGUAGUGGCUUACCAAGGCUUUGACGGGUAGCCGGCCUGAGAGGGUAACCGGCAACAUUGGGACUGAGUUACGGCCCGGACUCCUCCGGGAGGCAGCAGUGGGGAAUAUUGCACGAUGGGCGGAAGCCUGAUGCAGCAACGCCGCGUGCGGGAUGACGGCCUUCGGGUUGUAAACCGCUUUCGCCUGUGACGAAGCGUGAGUGACGGUAAUGGGUAAAGAAGCACCGGCUAACUACGUG